UUCGUAGGCGGUACAUCAAGUCUGGUGUUAAAGCCCGAGGCUCAACUUCGGAUCGGCACUGGAUACUGGUAAACUAGAAUGUGGUAGAGGUAAGGGGAAUUCCUGGUGUAGCGGUGAAAUGCGUAGAUAUCAGGAGGAACAUCGGUGGCGAAAGCGCCUUACUGGACCAUUAUUGACGCUGAGGAACGAAAGCCGGGGGAGCAAAUGGGAUUAGAUACCCCAGUAGUCCCGGCCGUAAACGAUGGAUACUAGGUGUUGCGGGUAUCGACCCCUGCAGUGCCGAAGCUAACGCGAUAAGUAUCCCGCCUGGGGAGUACGCACGCAAGUGUGAA
rnacentral:rRNA from 1 species